CGCUGGAUAACAUGGAGCGCUGCUGCUAUUCUAUUAGUAGUAGCGUUGCAAACAAGCGAGCGCUAGUACUAAGUGGGGACAACUAGCAGCAGUGAUGCUGCAAAACAAUGCGCUACUGCUAAACACUUAGCAGUAGCGCUGGAUUUUGGACGACGCUGCUACUACAACUAUUGUCGGUGGCAUCGUCUGGUUCCACAUAGUAGUAGCGACUUUUCAAUUAGCAGCGCUACUGCUAAGGUGUUAUUAGCAGUGCUUUACUGGAUCAGCGCUGCUGCUAAUUAUUAGUAGCGUGUUUUUUAUUCCAGCGCUACUACUGAGGUCAUGCCUAUAAGGUUUUUCCUAGUAGUUCAAGGUCACAAUCAUCUUGCCUGUUGGUUCUUAUGAUAGGUACAACUCCUGCUCUUCAGGAACAUAUUCAACGUGAUCCUCGCACGCGUUCUCAGCUCCCGUUGCUACGCAAAGAAAAUACAAAUCCAAUGAACACAUGAGUAGGUGCAAUGCUUCAAACAACAUGAUGCAUGAGUGUGGGAAAGAAAGGAGCAUGACAAUGCUAACUAAUCUUCUCAUGCAUUUAUUAAGUUGUUAGCAUUGUUGAUGAAACCUCAAGUUUAUUUAUUUUAACAUGCAUGAACAUGGAUGAAACGGACGCAUCAUGAGAAAAUAUUGCAGAGAGAUAUAAAAAACAUUGCAAACCGAGCUACGGAUCUCUCCCAAAUCACAAACAAGAUACAAAAGGAAACAUUGACUAAACAUCGCUAGGGAGUCAGCUAUGUGCAUUUUCUUGGUACUCCGAGUAUGCCAAUGGAUAGGGAAAGAAAUUCUAGGUGCAAUAGACCUAAAAUAAAUGCAAAACAAAUAUACACAACUAACACAAAGCAUAAAACAAAACCAUAACGACCAAUAUACCACUUUGAACAUGUGAAAACUGGAAGCUACAACCACUCGACAAGUUCAACCAACGCAUGGAUAUGAAG
rnacentral:lncRNA from 1 species